UUCGGCAAUCUUCGAAACAGCAGAAAAAACUGGCACAGUCCUUGCCGUCCAGACACUCAUACCCAUAUUCUUCAUCUCUCUCUUGAAGGAAUCCAAGUGUUUCUAUCUCUGCAACAAAAUCCACUCCACAAUAGAGAGGACCAGAGGGCUUUGUCCUAAGCCAGUCCUCACAUCCUUGUUUCUACUGGCAGGGUGCCAUACUCCACCAAAGCAGAGAAGACAAAGAUGAAGCAAACAGAUACGAAGAGGUCCAUUGCCGUGACAUAGGAG